rnacentral:tRNA from 1 species
CGCGGGGUGGAGCAGUCUGGUAGCUCGUCGGGCUCAUAACCCGAAGGUCGUUGGUUCAAUCCAGCCCCCGCAACCA